GCUUCAAUUAACGAUGAGAGAUUAGGGUUACAAAUAAUAAAAAUUGAAAGAGGGGAAUAGAGAGGCCAACUUGUUCUUCGUUGAAGAUGGAAAAUAGGUGUGCAAAUGUAGGAAACCUUGUAUCAUUCGAACUUUUUGGACGGACUGAAACCUAGGAAGAAGAUUAUAUGUUGUGCUUCAAGAGCUGAAAAAUUCUUAUAAGAGGUGCAAACGGGAAAAACUCUAUUUCAGAUAGAAUUAUGCUGCUAUUCUGUUAGUUUUUAUGUAACUGCAGAUUCUUCAACUCUUAAUUUCCCAUGUAAUCUCUGAUUUCAGCUACUACUUGGUUGUUUAUGGUCUAUGGUUUUGUUUUUAUUUUUUUUGUUUUUUUUUUGUUAUUUAAUUUUGCGUUUUUAGUAUAAUAAUCUGGUUUCUUAGUGUUGAAGAGUGAUUUGCUUAGCAAAAAGUAAAUUUGACUCUCAAUUGGAGAUUGUUUUAUGUCUAUUGUGGCUGAAUUUAUUUAAUUCAUUCAUAUUCUUUUA